rnacentral:rRNA from 1 species
CUUGCAUCGGGGAUUAGUGGCGAACGGGUGAGUAACACGUGAGUAACCUGCCCUUAACUCUGGGAUAAGCCUGGGAAACUGGGUCUAAUACUGGAUAUUGACUUUUCUCCGCAUGGGGAUAAGUUGAAAGAUUUUUUGGUUUUGGAUGGACUCGCGGCCUAUCAGCUUGUUGGUGGGGUAAUGGCCUACCAAGGCGACGACGGGUAGCCGGCCUGAGAGGGUGACCGGCCACACUGGGACUGAGACACGGCCCAGACUCCUACGGGAGGCAGCAGUGGGGAAUAUUGCACAAUGGGCGAAAGCCUGAUGCAGCGACGCCGCGUGAGGGAUGACGGCCUUCGGGUUGUAAACCUCUUUCAGUAGGGAACAAGGCCAAUGUUUAGUUGGUUGAGGGUACUUGCAGAAGAAGCGCCGGCUAACUACGUGCCAGCAGCCGCGGUAAUACGUAGGGCGCAAGCGUUAUCCGGAAUUAUUGGGCGUAAAGAGCUCGUAGGCGGUUUGUCGCGUCUGCCGUGAAAGUCCGGGGCUCAACUCCGGAUCUGCGGUGGGUACGGGCAGACUAGAGUGAUGUAGGGGAGACUGGAAUUCCUGGUGUAGCGGUGAAAUGCGCAGAUAUCAGGAGGAACACCGAUGGCGAAGGCAGGUCUCUGGGCAUUAACUGACGCUGAGGAGCGAAAGCAUGGGGAGCGAACAGGAUUAGAUACCCUGGUAGUCCAUGCCGUAAACGUUGGGCACUAGGUGUGGGGGACAUUCCACGUUUUCCGCGCCGUAGCUAACGCAUUAAGUGCCCCGCCUGGGGAGUACGGCCGCAAGGCUAAAACUCAAAGGAAUUGACGGGGGCCCGCACAAGCGGCGGAGCAUGCGGAUUAAUUCGAUGCAACGCGAAGAACCUUACCAAGGCUUGACAUGAACUGGAAACGCCCGGAAACGGGUGCCCCGCUUGCGGCCGGUUUACAGGUGGUGCAUGGUUGUCGUCAGCUCGUGU